GACGAACGCUGGCGGCGUGCUUAACACAUGCAAGUCGAACGAUGAAGCCGGAGCUUGCUCUGGUGAAUUAGUGGCGAACGGGUGAGUAACACGUGAGUAACCUGCCCUUGACUCUGGGGUAACUGCGGGAAACUGUAGCUAAUACCGGAUACGACCCUCGGAGGCAUCUCCUGGGGGUGGAAAGAAUUUCGGUCAAGGAUGGACUCGCGGCCUAUCAGCUAGUUGGUGAGGUAAAGGCUCACCAAGGCGACGACGGGUAGCCGGCCUGAGAGGGUAACCGGCCACACUGGGACUGAGACACGGCCCAGACUCCUACGGGAGGCAGCAGUGGGGAAUAUUGCACAAUGGGCGCAAGCCUGAUGCAGCAACGCCGCGUGAGGGAUGACGGCCUUCGGGUUGUAAACCUCUUUUAGCAGGGAAGAAGCGAAAGUGACGGUACCUGCAGAAAAAGCACCGGCUAACUACGUGCCAGCCGCCGCGGUAACAC
rnacentral:rRNA from 1 species